rnacentral:lncRNA from 1 species
CCUAUGAGACAGAUGCUGUCCUUUUCCUUAAGUGAGGAGGAAGCAGGUACCAACCUGGGGACUGCCUUGAGAGGAAUCCACAGAGAAGAGGUUGAGAGCACAUUUUGUGUCCGGGGAGUAUGAGGUCUGUGGCUAUGGGCACGGGGGGCGGGGGGGGGGGUCCGUUCAAGAUACCAAGGUGUGGGCUGGUAAGAUGGCUCAGUGGGUAGGGGCACUGACUGCUCUUCCAAAGGUCCUGAGUUCAAAAUCCCAGCAACCACAUGGUGGCUCACAACCACCCAUAAUGAGUUCUGACGCCCUCUUCUGGUAUGUCUGAAGUCAGCUACAGUGAAUUUAUGUAUAAUAAUAAAUAAAUCUUAAAAAAAAAAAAGAUACCAAGGUGUUCCUUGAGACAUUUACAGAUUAUUCUAGCAUUGGAGUAGUAGAAUCCUGGCUCCUCUGCCACAUGUGGCAUCACCCUCCUGUGUCCAAGAGAGGCCAGAUUCUAAGAACACUGACAACCUCAGCUAGAUUCUGGAUUCUGUUAGUAGGGAGCUUGGAUCCACACAAUGAGCAUUAAAGUGGGGGUUUGAAGUCAUCUACCAAAGCAGCAGGACAGGGGCUUCCUUCUUCACUGGUCACAAAGACAUUCCCUAGAUGGCUUCAGGGGCCCAAUCCCAGAUACCUUUUGGAAGUGUUCUGCAGGGUGUACCAAAAACUCCUGUAGUGGUGAGAGGAGGGAAGGAGGAGAAGGCUGAGCAUAGGAGAGCUGGCAGUUUCCCUUUUUCUCCAACACACUCCAGCCCAGAGGGCCCUGCCUCACCCUGAGCUGGCCCUGAUGUCAGCGGAAACCCCAGGGGCAGAGGGCUCCUCUCACCUCAGCAACUUCCCUGCCCUGCCCUUGCUCCCCCACCCACACCUGGCCCAGCUCAAGACACCCCACCCUACUUCCCCCUUGGAGCUGGAAGGAAGCUGAACCGCACCUGUACUGGCGAUUUGGUUCUGUUGCUGUCUCCCCUCUACCCCACCAUGGCUUUCUCUGUCAUGCAUAGGGUGAUGGGUG